AGCCACAAGAACCACAGAACUACAACUCUCAGCCCAUCACAUGAUACACCAAGAGUCACACGAUGUGCCUGAGGGCAUUGCUCACUUCUGGACCAUGAGAGUACUGAACAGUCAGGCUGGGGCUGUGACCCCUUCCCUGGGGGCUUCUUCCAGCGCCCAGCCACACUCUGGGUGAAGGCCGUUCUCCUUAUACUUAACUUUACCCUCCCCCAACAAAACAUCAGAGUACUCCCUGCAACUGCUCACCACAGAGAGGAAAUCAGUGCCUGUCCAUCUGCCUUCCCUCACAAGGAAGUUGUUGGUCACUAUGAGACCUCUCCACAGUCUCCUCUGGACUGAACAGACCAAGUGACCUCAGCUGCUCCUCAUACAGCUUCCCCUCCACAUCCUUUACCAUCCUUGUGACCCCUCCUCCUCUCCAAUAGUUUUAUGUCUCUCUUACAUUGUGGCACCCAGCACUAGAGCCAGCUGCUCACCCACCACAUGAUGUAUCCAGAAGGAUCCUGUGAGAGACAGCAUCAGAAGCUUUACUGAAAUCCAAAAAGAUCACAUCCUCAACAAGUGCUAUGCAAAGAAAUUCUUGUGGACCUGCUGGGGAACUGCAUACCCAGGUAGCAUGGGAUACCUCAUACCAGCCCAGCAUCUUUGCCCUGGACAGAAGCAGACCACACAUACUGAAAGAGGAGAGAAGCCUUAUCCACCUCCCUGUAAACACACAGGAAAAAAAAAUAGGAACUGCUGAUAUUUUUAACUGGAAGAAGAACACAGCAGUCAGGUAAAACUGCACAUCAUGAGAUGUGGUGGUCAAAAUUGAAGAACCAGUUGUGAGCACAUAUAUUAAUUCAUUGGGAAUAACAUUUUUUUACAAAAUAUGCCUCCAUUCCUUCAGGGUAAAAUAAUAUUUGAACUAUCACUCCUACUGAGAAACUGUAUGCCAUCACAUGUUGUUUUACAGAAUUAUAAAACAUGGAAAACAUGGCUUGGAAGGGGACUUUUAAAUGACAUCUAGUCCAACUCCCGCACCAUGGGUAGGAACAUUUCCACUAGACUGCCUGAGGUUGUCACAUAUCAUCUAGUCAUACUUCAUAUUAGAAAGUUGAAUUUAAUGUGGUGAAACUACCCAGACUACUUCUAGAUUUGGCCUUGAAAAAAACCAGCAGACAACCUGCUCUGCAUCCUAGUUGCUCUACUACGCACAUAAGAAACACCUUGCCCAAACUAAGCAUCUGAUGCACUCUGCAGCUGGUGGAAAGAUACCAGGAACUGCAAAGGAUCAACAAUUCAUCCCAAAACAUGAACUGCGAGAUGGGCUGUACAAAGCAUCCCUGGAAAAGUCCUGGUCACAACAAACAGAAGCCAGGAAAAAGCCCAGCUUUUGCACCACAACUGCCAGCUCUGCCAACCCUGCUUGCAAUGCCACAGCCUUGUUGCACCUCUAAUGUGAGGAAUUCUAGGAGUAGCAGUAUUUCAACAACCCUGAUCCUCUGCCAGAGAUACCCCAGCAGCUCCUCCAUCCCAGAGCAGUACUCAGAUGCAAUGGAGAAAAGCCAGGAAGGUGCUCUGGCCAGCACAAGUCUGAGUUAGCUCAGAGAACCAAGAUCCUGCUCUGGCUGACCUCCAGUGGCUCAUAUACACCAGUGCUACAGCAGCUUCAGCCCCCUUUAAGGACACCCCUCUGUAAGUGUUUAAGGAGGUAUUUGAGAGCUCAGAGGAACAGACAGGUUCCCUUCAUCAGCACAAAGAAACGGGCAGGCUUUGGGUUCACACCGUGUCUCGGAAGACAAGUUUUCACUUUGAUAAGUCUCUAAUAAUAUUAUGGAGAUCUGGUUCCUGUGAGAGCCCAGGGUAUUACAGCAGCUCCUCACACUAUUAUUUUUGCUUCUUCCACAACCUCAAUGUACCCAGACUCCCAGUCUGUGCAACUUUGUGAUACCAACCUCAUUCUUGCAGAGGAGGAGUCUACAGCUCCCUUCACCCUGAACAGGAACAAAUUACCAACUCUCACAUUCUUCUUGCUCUGUAUGGCAAGUCUCACCUGCUGUCCACACAGUGCAGAGGCAUUCCCAGUUUGUCCAGUUUUGUAUUCAGAGUACACUGAAUUAGCAACAUCUGAACUAACUUGUUUGAAAAAAAUACAGAAUUUUUCAACUCCCCAGCAUUCUAUUCCCUUUCCUCAUUGUCU